rnacentral:lncRNA from 1 species
GCUCCAAACUUCUAGAACUCAUUUGGCUAUGGUUGGGAUCCAUCCACUACAUGUGCAAAAGGUAGCUAAUGAGGUCCGCCAUAAUGUGCUCAAUAGUCGGUGUGUAAUUUUUCUAAUGAUGAAGUAUUUAUUUUUUCUCUAUAGGGACCCUACUACUAAAGAGGUCGUUAUGUAACACCUCCAAAUACUAUUAAUUGAUGAACUCAAAAUAAGAUAUGUUGUCAAGUUUGCCACAAUUAUGGCCACAUGACCUUGAAGUGUUACCAUCACUUUGGUUGGUCCUAUUAAGCAGAAGCUGCUACUCCACA